UGUAACGUCGGCGAUAGUUCGAUCGGGUUGGCAGCCUGGGGGGGUGCGGUGUUUCAGCCUUUCUGGCAGCCCGAUCGCGUAAUAGGACCCUAUUCAGCGUUUCGUGGAGGAUCUGAUCGAUCUGGUAGCGCGCUCAAAGCUAAGGUUAGGAAGCCGCGUGGGAGUGGCGUUCUUUUUGAAUUUAACCACGAAACAAGCAAGUUCGUGCAAGCAAGGAGAAGCAUCCGGAAAUUUUCGAGCAACUGCAGCGUAGUUUUACCCGCUGAGGAACCAUCGUGCUGGUGCAGGACCAGCAGGCAUACAGAAAGAGGGCCACAAGCGGCAUUUGGCAGUGUACGUGCUGCUCAGUCAAGGCAGGGCGCAAUCGUAGAAGCUAGCUAGGUCAGGGGUACCGGCGUGCGAGCUAGACCCCUGGUGGCAGAGAGGCAUAGUGCGAGCAACGGUUGGCCAAAAGAAGAAGAGAAGAGCGGGUUACAGUUGCGGCGCGAGUCUCUCAGUCAGGCCGCCCACGAGGCGGGGCUGAGGGGAGUCAUCAAAACCAAGUAGGAGCUGGAAAUACAGUGAGCUCGACCUGAAGUGAAGCAGUCGGAGCGUUCGCGACGCUUUAAGGGGCGCUCCGCCGGAGAUUCGGAUAGGGUUCGGCCCUAACCUCACAGGAGUCGCCGUGAAGUAGGCGCCAUCCUGGAGCAGUGAAGAAGGUCGGAGUGCUGGCGGCGCUUUAAGCAGCACCCCGCCGAUCGCAGGAGCCGCCGUGCAGUAGGCGAACGGAGGAGUCGCCGCAAAAUAGGCGAACUCCUAUAGGAGCAGUAGCGGGAGCGGAGCGCUGGCUGCGCUUUAAAGGAGCGUUCCAUUAUUCGAAGGAGCAGGCGUGGACUAACCUUCAAGCAUAGGAUAGGAAGCAGGGACAGGGCGCUUGCGGCGCUUCCAAGAAGCGCUUUGUCGAUCAGGAGAGCGGAUAGACUCGACCGGCUGAUGGUGCCUAACGGUGCCGGAAGCGGAGAAGAAGAAGUAGUGGGCGGAGAUUUCGCGUCAAAGCUCUGCCACUGGCUGUAUGUUUUGUUGUUGGCAUUGUUGACGGGUUAGGCAAAGGCCCUCCCGAAUUGCAUAUUAUCUUUUCCAACCUCGAGUAGUGGAAGCGCUUCAACAACUCGUCGCGGAUGUAUUGAGUGAGUAAUCCUAAAUCUAUGCCAAGCCAGCAGAAGUGAUACUGAAUUCUCCGAUCAAUAUCUUUCCUCGUUUUCCGAGUUCCAGCCCAAGAGGCUUCACCGGUUAUACAGUCAACCCCACGCGUGGCCUUUGUAGUAGCGCUCUCUUAGUAACUAAAAUCUGUUGUCAUGAUAUUGAACGCGAGUCCGCAAAUCCUGCCAAAUCGAAUAUACAUUUAAGUUCUCUAAUCUUUAGCAAUAAGAUAUUAUUAAGCAUAGUCAGAAAAAUCAUACAUUGGAGUAUUAGAAUAGUUAGGAAGCUAGGAUAAGGAUGUCAUCUAGAAUUUUAAGGUCUUUUGUUAAGGAAUAAAACAAUGAAGUUUAUAAUGGAGUAAGAAAACAGAUUUCGCCUCGUUUGGGUCGCCACCGCCCUGCCGCCAACAUAUGCCGUGUACCUUC